CAUAUGUUUGCCUUCUCAUUGCCAUGCUUUUCUUCAUUUAUGCCAUUAUUGGCAUGCAAGUAUUCGGUAAUAUUAAAUUGAAUGAUGAGAGCCACAUUAAUCAACACACCAAUUUCAAAACGUUCUUUGGUGCCUUGAUGCUGCUCUUUAGAAGUGCCACAGGAGAGUCGUGGCAGGAGAUCAUGCUCUCGUGUCUCGGGGGGAAGGAGUGUGAACUGGACCCUUCGAUACCACCACCUUUCACCUCUCCAGAUC